rnacentral:rRNA from 1 species
UACGUAGGGUGCAAGCGUUAAUCGGAAUUACUGGGCGUAAAGCGUGCGCAGGCGGUUUUGUAAGCCAGAUGUGAAAGCCCCGGGCUUAACCUGGGAAUGGCAUUUGGGACUGCAAGGCUUGAGUGCGGCAGAGGAGACUGGAAUUCCUGGUGUAGCAGUGAAAUGCGUAGAUAUCAGGAGGAAUGCCGAUGGCGAAGGCAGGUCUCUGGGCUGACACUGACGCUCAUGCACGAAAGCGUGGGGAGCAAACAGG